CAACGCAACAUCAAACCAGUGAAAGGAUUAAGUGUUCAAACAAGGAUUAAAUUAGUUCCGCAGAAGUUCUCUAAGUUAGUGCCCAUACUCAGAGUGCUCUCAAAAGAGUUGCACCUGCUCUCACUAUCCUAGAGUGCUCUCAAGAAAGUCGCGCCUGUCACUUUAACUCUACUCUUCCUGAUUGCACUCAAGCAAGUUGCACCGGAUUUCAACUUUAGCCAGAGUGCGCUCAAGAAAGCCGCACCGGCAUCUCAACUUAAUAUUCUACUUGCAAUGAAGGUGAAUCAAGAUAAACGCGGUCGUAAAGCCACUCGUCGUGGUGGUACCAAACAACGAGCUAGGACAGUUAUUAAACGGCAGAUUCAACUGGUAUGAAAGGAGCUAGAGACUCAAUUUCCACCAUCCGGUCCGUCAAGUCAUCCGGGUGAACCGUGUUAUUCACCUGUGUCGGAGGCUUCGACCAUUUGCCUGGGUCCUCGCUCGCCGCAAUUUAUCGACUUAACCGAAGAACCAGACCAGAAUCGGUUAACGUAGCAGAUACCAACGAGA